AGAUUUUGUGAUGACAUCUUCAUACCCAUAACUGAGCAAAAGUGCUGAAUUUUUACUCACAUGCACUACCAUCUGACCAAUCUU